rnacentral:tmRNA from 1 species
ACGAGAUUUUUAGGAACUGGCUUAGGCCCAAUCCUGCCUUGGGAGUUUGUCUAAGUGAGAUCUAAAUCAAAGGAUAAGCAUGUAGAGGCCUUUGCUUGAAACCUUUCGGACGGGGGUUCGAUUCCCCCCGCCUCCACCA